rnacentral:rRNA from 1 species
UACGAAGGGUGCAAACGUUGUUCGGAUUUACUGGGCGUAAAGCGCACGUAGGCGGAUCGUUAAGUUGGGGGUGAAAUCCUGGAGCUCAACUCCAGAACUGCCUUCAAUACUGGCGAUCUAGAGUCCGGAAGAGGUGAGUGGAACUCCUAGUGUAGAGGUGGAAUUCGUAGAUAUUAGGAAGAACACCAGUGGCGAAGGCGGCUCACUGGUCCGGUACUGACGCUGAGGUGCGAAAGCGUGGGGAGCAAACAGG